ACUGCGGUGGAUAUGGUACAGUAUUGUGAUCGCAGCCUACAUGGGUAUACGUAUAGUGUCGUCAGCAGCACGCAAGGCCGGGCGGCUUGCGCCACGCCGGACCUCGUUCUGGCGACCGCGAUCGCCAACGUCGAUACCAGGAAGCAUUUCCCGUCGUUCGAAGGCCGAGAGCGAUAGGAGGAAAGAUCGCGGCCAGCCGAUGAUUCCCUCGCCGGCAUCAAGCCUCCAAGACGCUGCUCAUAUUUGUUCACCCCUUUGGACUCUAUUGUCUCUGGACGUACAAGUCAACAGUGAAUGUGUCACCACUGGAAGCAACAAGAAGGGCCAUAAUUUUCCCAAGAACACGGACGAAAGAGAUUAUUAUUCUGCAAGUUGCCCACGCCAAGCCAUAAGAAGCUCAACGGUCACCAUAAUGCCAACAGGUCCGCUUGAACUCCGUGC